rnacentral:rRNA from 1 species
UACGAAGGGUGCAAGCGUUAAUCGGAAUUAUUGGGCGUAAAGCGCGCGUAGGCGGUUUUUUAAGUCUGAUGUGAAAGCCCACGGCUCAACCGUGGAGGGUCAUUGGAAACUGUUAAACUUGAGUGCAGGAGAGAAAAGUGGAAUUCCUAGUGUAGCGGUGAAAUGCGUAGAGAUUAGGAGGAACACCAGUGGCGAAGGCGGCUUUUUGGCCUGUAACUGACACUGAGGCGCGAAAGCGUGGGGAGCAAACAGG